rnacentral:snRNA from 1 species
GUGCUCGCUUCGGCAGCACAUAUACUGGGAUUGGAACGAUACAGAGAAGAUUAGCAUGGCCCCUGCACAAGGAUGACACGCAAAUUUGUGAGGCGUUCCAUAUU